AAACUGGGCUCUCCCUGUUAUAUCUAAUCAAUCUAUCACCCUGUGUGUCUUUUGUAAAUCCCAAUCUGCAGCAGGCAAAAUUUGUUCUUAGCUGCACCAUAUGAAGUCUCCACUGUGGCCUCUUUGCUUUCCAUCUGUCAUUUCCGGCUGCCAGACAUGGGCUCUGUUUUCUCUUUGGCCCUUUAUCAUCCCCAGUGUCUUGGUUAUGACUAGUC
rnacentral:lncRNA from 1 species